rnacentral:rRNA from 1 species
UACGGGGGGGGCAAGCGUUGUUCGGAAUUACUGGGCGUAAAGGGUUCGUAGGUGGCCAACUAAGUCGGACGUGAAAUCCCUCAGCUUAACUGGGGAACUGCGUCUGAUACUGGUUGGCUUGAGUGCAGGAGAGGAACGCGGAAUUCCAGGUGUAGCGGUGAAAUGCGUAGAUAUCUGGAGGAACACCGGUGGCGAAGGCGGCAUCCUGGACCAAUAUUGACGCUGAGGAGCGAAAGCUAGGGGAGCAAACGGG